UGUUGAUUUUGCCUAUGGUUUCAAAAUUUGGGUUAUGAUUAGUUUAUAUUCAGCAAGUUUGAUGAUUGAAGUGAGCAUUGCUAGAGGAAAUGUUAUUCAAAUUAAUUUGGGGUGGAAAAUGCUUCACUUGACAAUGUUUUGAAUUUCUUCAUGAACUAUAUUUUUCUAGGCCGGAAUGGGUUGGGUUUGGUGAGGUUUGGCUUGGGUUGAGUAGGAAUAACAAACAAAGCCUU
rnacentral:lncRNA from 1 species